AUUGAACGCUGGCGGCAUGCUUACACAUGCAAGUCGAACGGUAACAGGUUAAGCUGACGAGUGGCGAACGGGUGAGUAAUGCAUCGGAACGUGCCCGGUCGUGGGGGAUAACGCAGCGAAAGCUGCGCUAAUACCGCAUACGAUCUGAGGAUGAAAGCGGGGGACCGUAAGGCCUCGCGCGAUCGGAGCGGCCGAUGUCAGAUUAGGUAGUUGGUGGGGUAAAGGCUCACCAAGCCGACGAUCUGUAGCUGGUCUGAGAGGACGACCAGCCACACUGGGACUAAGACACGGCCCAGACUCCGACGGGAGGCAGCAGUGGGGAAUUUUGGACAAUGGGCGCAAGCCUGAUCCAGCAAUGCCGCGUGCAGGAAGAAGGCCUUCGGGUUGUAAACUGCUUUUGUACGGAGCGAAAAGGCUCUCUCUAAUACAGGGGGCUCAUGACGGUACCGUAAGAAUAAGCACCGGCUAACUACGUGCCAGCAGCCGCCGUAA
rnacentral:rRNA from 1 species